CGGGGUGUAGCUCAGUUUGGUUUUAGAGCGUUCGGUUCGGGACCGAAAGGUCGCAGGUUCAAAUCCUGUCACCCCGA
rnacentral:tRNA from 1 species